GAUGAACGCUGGCGGCGUGCCUAAUACAUGCAAGUCGAGCGAACAGACGAGGAGCUUGCUCCUCUGACGUUAGCGGCGGACGGGUGAGUAACACGUGGAUAACCUACCUAUAAGACUGGGAUAACUUCGGGAAACCGGAGCUAAUACCGGAUAAUAUAUUGAACCGCAUGGUUCAAUAGUGAAAGACGGUUUUGCUGUCACUUAUAGAUGGAUCCGCGCCGCAUUAGCUAGUUGGUAAGGUAACGGCUUACCAAGACAACGAUGCGUAGCCGACCUGAGAGGGUGAUCGGCCACACUAGAACUGAGACACGGUCCAGACUCCUACGGGAGGCAGCAGUAGGGAAUCUUCCGCAAUGGGCGAAAGCCUGACGGAGCAACGCCGCGUGAGUGAUGAAGGUCUUCGGAUCGUAAAACUCUGUUAUUAGGGAAGAACAAAUGUGUAAGUAACUAUGCACGUCUUGACGGUACCUAAUCAGAAAGCCACGGCUAACUACGUG
rnacentral:rRNA from 1 species